CCUACGGGAGGCAGCAGUGGGGAAUAUUGGGCAAUGGGCGCAAGCCUGAACCAGCAACGCCGCGUGAAGGAAGAAGGCUUUCGGGUUGGAAACUUCUUUUCUCAGGGACGAAGCAAGUGACGGUACCUGAGGAAUAAGCCACGGCUAACUACGUGCCAGCAGCCGCGGUAUUACGUAGGUGGCAAUCGUUAUCCGGAUUUACGGGGUGUAAAGGGCGUGUAGGCGGGACUGCAAGUCAGAUGUGAAAACCACGGGGUCAACCUGUGGCCUGCAGUUGAAACUGGAGUUCUUGAGUACUGGAGAGGCAGACGGAAUUCGUAGUGUAGCGGUGAAAUGCGUAGAUAUUAGGAGGAACACCAGUGGCGAAGGCAGUCUGCUGGACAGCAACUGACGCUGAGGCGCGAAAGCGUGGGGAGCAAACAGGAUUAGAUACCCCGGUAGUC
rnacentral:rRNA from 1 species